rnacentral:rRNA from 1 species
AUUGAACGCUGGCGGCAUGCCUAACACAUGCAAGUCGAACGUGAAAGUCCUUCGGGAUGAGUAAAGUGGCGCACGGGUGAGUAACGCGUAGAUAAUCUGCCCGAUGAUCUGGGAUAACAUUCCGAAAGGGGUGCUAAUACCGGAUAAGCCCACGGGAUCUUCGGAUCCUGCGGGAAAAGGGGGGGACCUUCGGGCCUUCUGUCAUCGGAUGAGUCUGCGUACCAUUAGCUAGUUGGUAGGGUAAUGGCCUACCAAGGCGACGAUGGUUAGCUGGUCUGAGAGGAGGAUCAGCCACAAUGGAACUGAGACACGGUCCAGACUCCUACGGGAGGCAGCAGUGGGGAAUUUUGCGCAAUGGGGGAAACCCUGACGCAGCAACGCCGCGUGAGUGAUGAAGGCCUUCGGGUCGUAAAGCUCUGUCAGAGGGAAAGAAAUGUCUGAUGGCUAAUAUCCAUUGGACUUGACGGUACCCUCAAAGGAAGCACCGGCUAACUCCGUGCCAGCAGCCGCCGUAAGAC